rnacentral:sRNA from 1 species
UUGAUAAAGGAGAAUGGUGAAAAGAAUGGAAUAUAUAAAAUUUAGGAGGGGUUAUUGGUUUAUAGAUUUAUAAGGAAUUGGAAAUCCAAACAAAAAUAAUUUGUUAUUCAAUCAUUGAUUUUAAAAUUCUAAU